AGCAGCGUAGCUCAGUUGGUGAGAGCGUGCGGUUCAUACCCGCGAGGUCCUCGGUUCGAGUCCGAGCGCUGCUA
rnacentral:tRNA from 1 species